rnacentral:rRNA from 1 species
GACGAACGCUGGCGGCGUGCUUAACACAUGCAAGUCGAACGGAAGGGCGCUGAUUUUGUGGGGCGCUCGAGUGGCGAACGGGUGAGUAUCACGUGAGUAUCCUGCCCUUGUAUUUGGGAUAACUUCUGGAGACUGCGGCUAAUAUCGGAUAGGAGCUUUUGCUGCAUGGUGGGGGUUGGUAAGUUUCGGCGGUUGGGGAUGGACUCGAGGCUUAUCAGCUUGUUGGUGGGGUAGUGGCUUACCAAGGUUUUGACGGGUAGCCCGCCUGGGAGGGUGGCCAGCCACAAGGGGACUACGGUACGGCCCAGACUCCAACGGGAGGCAGCAGUGGGGAGUAUUGCGCAAUGGGCGGAAGCGUGAGACAGCAGCGCCGCGUGCGGGAUGACGUCCUUCGAGUGGUAAACCGAUUUCGCCUGAGACGAAGCGUGAGUGACGGUAAUGGGUAAAGAAGCACCGGCUAACUACGUG